AGCAGCAUGGCGCAGCUGGAAGCGCGCGGGGCCCAUAGUCCGUGUGACCCCGAGGUCACUUGAUCGAAACAAGUUGCUGCUA
rnacentral:tRNA from 1 species